rnacentral:rRNA from 1 species
AUGGCACUGUACCGCCGCAUGGCCUCUGUGAUCCGGCGGCGAGGGGCCUUGCCGCUGCCCCUGCUCCUGGUGCGGGCGAUGGCGUCGCUCUUCGGCCACGUCAAGCCGGCGCCCAAGGACCCCAUCCUCGGUGUCACCGAGGCCUUUCUCGCUGACCCCUCCCCCGACAAAGUCAACAUCGACCCCUAG